rnacentral:rRNA from 1 species
AAUGGGGGCAACCCUGAUCCAGCCAUGCCGCGUGAGUGAAGAAGGCCUUCGGGUUGUAAAGCUCUUUCGGCCGGGAAGAAAUCGCAUGGGCGAAUACCCUGUGUGGAUGACGGUACCGGAAGAAGAAGCACCGGCUAACUACGUGCCAGCAGCCGCGGUAAUACGUAGGGUGCGAGCGUUAAUCGGAAUUACUGGGCGUAAAGGGUGCGCAGGCGGCGCCAUAAGACAGCUGUGAAAUCCCCGGGCUUAACCUGGGAACUGCGGUUGUGACUGUGGUGCUUGAGUGCGGCAGAGGGGGGUGGAAUUCCACGUGUAGCAGUGAAAUGCGUAGAGAUGUGGAGGAACACCGAUGGCGAAGGCAGCCCCCUGGGCCGAUACUGACGCUCAUGCACGAAAGCGUGGGUAGCAAA